rnacentral:rRNA from 1 species
CCUACGGGAGACAGCAGUGAGGAAUAUUGGUCAAUGGGCGCGAGCCUGAACCAGCCAAGCAGCGUGAAGGAUGACUGCCCUACGGGUUGUAAACUUCUUCUAUAAAGGAAUAAAGUGAGGCACGUGUGCCUUUUUGUAUGUACUUUAUGAAUAAGGAUCGGCUAACGCCGUGCCAGCAGCCGCGGUAAUACGGAGGAUCCGAGCGUUAUCCGGAUUUAUUGGGCUUAAAGGGAACGUAGAUGGGUUGUUAAGUCAGUUGUGAAAGUUUGCGGCUCAACCGUAAAAUUGCAAUUGAUACUGGCAGUCUUGAGUACAGUAGAGGGAGGCAGAAUUCGUGGUGUAGCGGUGAAAUGCGUAGAGAUCACGAAGAACUCCGAUUGCGAAGGCAGCUUACUAAACUGCCACUGACAUUGAUGCUCGAAAGUGUGGGGAGCAAACAGGAUUAGAUACCCGAGUAGUC